AUUUAGAUUAUUAAAACGAUGCAUGAUAUUCAUUUUAAUUGUACAAUAUCUCCAAUCAACAAGUUCAGAUUAUAAAUACAUUUAUUCUCUCAAUGCUGCCUUUGUCAAAGCAGUUCUGUCAGUCAUGGCCGGCUUAUUAUUUCUCAUUAAAUGUUCAUAUUUGCAUGCCUCUGUGUGUGAGUGCUCCCCUACCUGCUAGGGCCUGGUGGCAUACUGUUUGUGUGUGUGUGUGUGUGUGUGUGUUCAGCUGUACUGGCUUUAAGCAGGUGCUCAGGUGUCCUUGGCUUGAACUUGACACUCGCCUCAUGAAUCAAUCUCCACUCUAGGGUUAUCUGGCAGUAGUGUAGGCAACUGUGUGUGUGUGUGUGUGUGUGUGUGUGUGUGUGUGUGUGUGUGUGUGUGAGAGAGAGAGAGAGAGAGAGAGAGAGAGAGAGAGAGAGAGAGAGAGAGAGAGGGAGAGAGUAUAAGAGGCAGGUUAAGACUGGCCAGGAAGGUAUUAACUUCUGAUUGAUUCAUUUGGCUCUAAUCCACCUCCCAGUGAAAGGUGCAGCUCGACUCCCUCCUUUUCUAAACAUUAUUUACUCAAUAUUCUCACACACCUCAGUACCAGACAUAAAGCUACUCAAAAAUUCUCCUGCAGCUAUUGUUCCUCUUGACUUCAUUUAUUUUUCUGUAUGAGUUCUUCAUGACAAUCCCUCUAGCCCCCAAAGUCAGUGUUUCUGCAACUUGUCAUUUUUAUUUAAAAAAAUCAUAUAAACCUGUUGAGAUGAGCCAUUUUUGUUUUUUUAAGGGGGUCCUUAGACACAUAGACAAGUCACUGCAACAGCAGAUGUUGGUCAAUGAUUUAUUAGCUAAGUAUGCAUUUAUAUAUUCUUUUUAUUUUUCUAUUUCUGCUAACACGGUCAGUGUUAACAUUGUGAUGACCCCUCCCACUCUGGUGGUUCUGUGUAUUUUUCCCUUGUUUCUUUGCAGGAGACAGAGUGGCAGGGGUGUGGCUAUAAGAUGAGCUACACUUGAUUCCUUCCUGGUUACAAGGCUUUAUAGGGGGUUGAUCAGUUGGUUAUCUCUCUCUCCUUCCAGCCAGCAGGUCCUGGGUUUGUUGCUUUCUUUGGUUUGAUAAAUCCCAUUACCUUUUUUCAUACACAACACUUCAUCCAUGUCCACACACACACACUCACUACACUACUGACAACACUGAUGUACAUGUAUAUAUUGGUUGAUUACAUUCACACAGGUCACCAUUUAACUGCCGUAAAAACUUUUUCCAAACAUUUCCUUUCCUUUAAAUUUCUUAAGUGCCAACUGAUGCCGUGAACCAGAGUCUGACAAACAUGAAGCUAAACUGAUGAAGUGGAUAAUGGCAGUUUUCUCAACUUGACUUGAAAGCUAUUAGUAAGCAGAAGAGCGAGAGAGAUGGAGAGAAAAAAGAGAAAGCAAUUAUGAUUAAUUAUCUGGUGCUCAUGUGUGCAUACAUUUUUUGUGUGUGUCGUCAUAUCCUUUAGAUUUAAUUUUGCUGCAGCCUUCACAAGUCCUCUUUUGUUGCAUAUGUUGUGUAUGAAGGGAACUGGUUGUGCUGGCAUGUAUGAAGGCCUCUGGCUGACAACCUCACAAAUGAGAGAGACAGGGAAAGCGUAGCUGUUGGGCCAAAUGCAACAUGUGGGAAGAGAGCGGUGACAGCCUGCGGAGGAACCUCCAGCGUAGAGAAGCAAGGAAGGAUAAAAGAGAGAUUGAGUGAGAGACAGAGCGAUGGCAGUGAGCAGACAGCUCCUUUAUCAGCAGGUGAAACCUCUACAUGUUCUUGACACUUGGACCCAAUUACUGUACUUUUUCUUUUUUUUUUUUCAAGUGAGAGGACCACGAAAUCAUCCUCACUGCUCGACGACUCUCUCUCGUAAUGUGAAUUUCGCAAUGGAUAGAAUAAUAAAAUGCAUAGUGUGCAUGGUUUCUAUGCGUAAAUAAUUUAAUUGGAUGAUGGAUUAAAAAAAAUGCAUGGAAAAAAUACGGACUUGAUGCAUGUAGUCUUUUUCUCUUCCAUGUCAAAGGCAGCAUAUUUUUCUCUGAAAUCAGUUAGUUGAAUUCUUCUGCUAAAAGUUAUUUUACCUUUAAGACUGGGCUCGGUUUUGAAUGUCACAUCACUUCAGACAAAGACAAAAUCAAUAAUGUACCUUAAAAGUUCCAGCGCCACUUCAAUAUUCAACCUCAACCUUCAGCACAUGUACAGCAAAAUAUAAAUCAGUUUUUUUGGUUAAGGGCAUAAGAUGCAAAACAGAUUUCAUUCCUGUCUUUUUGAUGUGUGCGUUCAGAGACGUUUUAACUAUACUAAUCUUUAUUUAAUAAUACUGUACAUGAGAACGAUACGCAAAAGUUUCCCAUCAUUGUAGUAUUCAGGAGUUAAAUGAAGGCGAAUCACUGAAAAGCUACAAUCUAUUCACAACAGAUUUCCUUUACAUUCAUAAACUGCUGGUUUGCCAGGGGACUGACUGUGUUAACAUUUGCAUUUACUAUAAAUCUUCUCACUUAUUGUUCAUCCCAUAAAUUUUCUCGUGAUUACCCAUAAUUUGAAUGGAAUGGGAUCUUUUCUCUUUUUUUUUCAGACAAAAGUUCGUAAUUAUUCAUUAACCUCCCGAUAAGUGUUCCUGAACGUGCAUCAUUAACAUUUUCGCAGUUAUUUUCCUGCAGCUUGACUGGCAGUAUUAUAUAAAACAUACCCCAUUUGCUGCUCUCCAGGAUGCGAGGCAAUUAAAGAACAGUAUUUCUCCCUCUCAUGAAGUAGGUCGCGGCUAAUUGCAUUUGACGAUGAAGAGUGGGAACAUACUGCGGCAGAAAUUACAUGCAAGGCUUGUCACAACAGCUGUAUUAAUAAACAUGGAGACAAAAUGCCUGUGGAGUUUGUAUUUGGAUGGCUUUUGACAGCACAGAUUGCACAUUUAUUUGACCUUUAACAAAUUAAAAAUGCAGAUAAGUUUUUCUUGAAUCUACAACUUUGUAUGUUGUAGAAAAACUGCAAUAAAGCUGAUUUAUUUAGGGAAUAAGUUAAUAUGUCCCCAUACUGGAUUAAGAACAACAAGGCUCAGUUGCUGUCAUUUUAAUUUCCUGUCUAAGAAGACAUGUUGCACUAUAGAGUGAUUAAAAAGUUAAUGAUG